UGCCUAAGUAGUCCACAGAGAUGAAGCGGGAGUCAUGAUGCCUCACUGACCAGACACAAUUAGGGUGGCAGCCAGCAUCACAGGUGAAGACCUGGAGCUUCAGCUCCUGUAUUAAUCUGCUAAAAUUAUCUAAAAUCUUAAAUUAGAGGGGCAAAGGUUUAAAAAUAAUAUCAGGAAGUAUUACUUUACUGAGAGGGUAGUGGAUGCAUGGAAUAGCCUUCCAGCUGAAGUGGUAGAGGUUAACACAG